CCGCUGACGAGUGGCGAACGGGUGAGUAAUGCGUCGGAACGUGCCGAGUAGUGGGGGAUAACUAUCCGAAAGGGUAGCUAAUACCGCAUACGCUUUGAGAAGGAAAGCAGGGGAUCGCAAGACCUUGCGCUAUUCGAGCGGCCGACGUCUGACUAGCUAGUUGGUGAGGUAAGAGCUCACCAAGGCGACGAUCAGUAGCGGGUCUGAGAGGAUGAUCCGCCACACUGGGACUGAGACACGGCCCAGACUCCCACGGGAGGCAGCAGUGGGGAAUUUUGGACAAUGGGCGCAAGCCUGAUCCAGCCAUGCCGCGUGUCUGAAGAAGGCCUUCGGGUUGUAAAGGACUUUUGUCAGGGAGGAAAUCCCUAGCGCUAAUAUCGCUGGGGGAUGACAGUACCUGAAGAAUAAGCACCGGCUAACUACGUGCCAGCAGCCGCGGUAAUACGUAGGGUGCAAGCGUUAAUCGGAAUUACUGGGCGUAAAGCGUGCGCAGGCGGUUGUGUAAGUCUGAUGUGAAAGCCCCGGGCUUAACCUGGGAACUGCAUUGGAGACUGCACGGCUAGAGUGCGUCAGAGGGGGGUAGAAUUCCGCGUGUAGCAGUGAAAUGCGUAGAGAUGCGGAGGAAUACCGAUGGCGAAGGCAGCCCCCUGGGAUGACACUGACGCUCAUGCACGAAAGCGUGGGGAGCAAACAGGAUUAGAUACCCUGGUAGUCCACGCCCUAAACGAUGUCAACUAGCUGUUGGGGGUUUGAAUCCUUGGUAGCGUAGCUAACGCGAGAAGU
rnacentral:rRNA from 1 species